CCUACGGGAGGCAGCAGCCGAGGAUAUUGGUCAAUGGGGGAAACCCUGAACCAGCGACGCCGCGUGCAGGAAGAAGGCCUUCGGGUUGUAAACUGCUUUUUUGGAGGAAGAACCUUAG
rnacentral:rRNA from 1 species